rnacentral:rRNA from 1 species
GAAGGGAGCUUGCUCCCGGAUGUUAGCGGCGGACGGGUGAGUAACACGUGGGUAACCUGCCUGUAAGACUGGGAUAACUCCGGGAAACCGGAGCUAAUACCGGAUAGUUCCUUGAACCGCAUGGUUCAAGGAUGAAAGACGGUUUCGGCUGUCACUUACAGAUGGACCCGCGGCGCAUUAGCUAGUUGGUGAGGUAACGGCUCACCAAGGCGACGAUGCGUAGCCGACCUGAGAGGGUGAUCGGCCACACUGGGACUGAGACACGGCCCAGACUCCUACGGGAGGCAGCAGUAGGGAAUCUUCCGCAAUGGACGAAAGUCUGACGGAGCAACGCCGCGUGAGUGAUGAAGGUUUUCGGAUCGUAAAGCUCUGUUGUUAGGGAAGAACAAGUGCAAGAGUAACUGCUUGCACCUUGACGGUACCUAACCAGAAAGCCACGGCUAACUACGUGCCAGCAGCCGCGGUAAUACGUAGGUGGCAAGCGUUGUCCGGAAUUAUUGGGCGUAAAGGGCUCGCAGGCGGUUUCUUAAGUCUGAUGUGAAAGCCCCCGGCUCAACCGGGGAGGGUCAUUGGAAACUGGGAAACUUGAGUGCAGAAGAGGAGAGUGGAAUUCCACGUGUAGCGGUGAAAUGCGUAGAGAUGUGGAGGAACACCAGUGGCGAAGGCGACUCUCUGGUCUGUAACUGACGCUGAGGAGCGAAAGCGUGGGGAGCGAACAGGAUUAGAUACCCUGGUAGUCCACGCCGUAACGAUGAGUGCUAAGUGUUAGGGGGUUUCCGCCCCUUAGUGCUGCAGCUAACGCAUUAAGCACUCCGCCUGGGGAGUACGGUCGCAAGACUGAAACUCAAAGGAAUUGACGGGGGCCCGCACAAGCGGUGGAGCAUGUGGUUUAAUUCGAAGCAACGCGAGAACCUUACCAGGUCUUGACAUCCUCUGACAACUCCUAGAGAUAGGGCUUUCCCUUUCGGGGACAGAGUGACAGUGGUGCAUGGCUUGUCGUCAGCUCGUGUCGUGAGAUGUUGGGGUUAAGUCCCGCAACGAGCGCACCCUGAUCUAGUGCCAGCAUUCAGCUGGCACU